AAACAUAAGAGUUUGAUCCUGGCUCAGAUUGAACGCUGGCGGCAUGCUUUACACAUGCAAGUCGGACGGCAGCACAGAGAAGCUUGCUUCUUGGGUGGCGAGUGGCGAACGGGUGAGUAACAUAUCGGAACGUACCGAGCAGUGGGGGAUAACUAAUCGAAAGAUUAGCUAAUACCGCAUAUAUUCUGAGGAAGAAAGCAGGGGACCAUUUGGCCUUGCGCUGUUUGAGCGGCCGA
rnacentral:ncRNA from 1 species